UGACCUCAAAUCAGGUAGGACUACCCGCUGAACUUAAGCAUMUCAAUAARCGGAGGA
rnacentral:rRNA from 1 species